rnacentral:rRNA from 1 species
UGUGCCUACGGGAGGCAGCAGUAGGGAAUAUUGCUCAAUGGGGGAAACCCUGAAGCAGCAACGCCGCGUGGGUGAAGAAGCGCUUCGGCGCGUAAAGGCCUGUCAGCAGGGAAGGAAAUGACGGUACCUGAAGAAGAAGCCCCGGCUAACUACGUGCCAGCAGCCGCGGUAAUACGUAGGAUGCGAGCGUUAUCCGGAUUUAUUGGGUUUAAAGGGUGCGUAGGCGGUCCGGAAAGUCAGCGGUAAAAGCCCGGGGCUCAACCCCGGCGAGCCGUUGAAACUGUCGGACUAGAGACGGCGAGAAG